GGAUAACAUACCGAAAGGUAUGCUAAUACGGGAUAAUAUAUUUGAGAGGUAUCUCUUAAAUAUCAAAGGUGAGCCAGUACAGGAUGGACCCGCGUCUGAUUAGCUAGUUGGUAAGGUAACGGCUUACCAAGGCGACGAUCAGUAGCCGACCUGAGAGGGUGAUCGGCCACAUUGGAACUGAGACACGGUCCAAACUCCUACGGGAGGCAGCAGUGGGGAAUAUUGCACAAUGGGCGAAAGCCUGAUGCAGCAACGCCGCGUGAGUGAUGAAGGCCUUCGGGUCGUAAAACUCUGUCCUCAAGGAAGAUAAUGACGGUACUUGAGGAGGAAGCCCCGGCUAACUACGUGCCAGCAGCCGCGGUAAUACGUAGGGGGCUAGCGUUAUCCGGAUUUACUGGGCGUAAAGGGUGCGUAGGCGGUCUUUCAAGUCAGGAGUGAAAGGCUACGGCUCAACCGUAGUAAGCUCUUGAAACUGGGAGACUUGAGUGCAGGAGAGGAGAGUGGAAUUCCUAGUGUAGCGGUGAAAUGCGUAGAUAUUAGGAGGAACACCAGUUGCGAAGGCGGCUCUCUGGACUGUAACUGACGCUGAGGCACGAAAGCGUGGGGAGCAAACAGGAUUAGAUACCCUGGUAGUCCACGCUGUAAACGAUGAAUAGUAGGUGUCGGGGGUUACCCCCUUCGGUGCCGCA
rnacentral:rRNA from 1 species